rnacentral:lncRNA from 1 species
CGUGUAUUUAUAAAUGAAAAUUUUAUGGGGAGGGCAGUGUGUUUGUUACCUGAGAUAUUUCCCCUUGGGAUGGCUCCAGGUGGUUUCCCUCUCGUAAGCAGCAUCACCCAUUCACCCUCCUGCAUUUUAAGUUAUAAUUAUUUCAGUAUCUUCUACUUUAUGUUUAUCAGAUUUUCUUCUACUUUCAAUUUCAGUUAAACGUUUUUCAGUAGACUGAUUUGUUUCUUGUAUCAACUAUCCGAAAUUCAGUAUUCUGUCAAAAGAUCCAAGUACACUAACACGGUUCAGACUGAGGAAGUAUGCAUGUAGUGAGGUGGGUCGAGGGUUUCUGGAAGGUGGAGGUCGGGAACUGGCUAGGCUUGGUGGGUAGGUGGUUCCUUUUCCUUUUGUGGCCUUUGUGUUUUUGUGUUAACGGGUUGUGAGGCGGCCCGUUUAUGAAACAUGUUCUUUUUACGUAAAUCAUGCUUGCGCAGAUUUUUGACCCGACGCAGGAAACAAAACACUCUUUUUUUAAACUGAAUUUUUUUUAGUCUGAAUACUCAGACACGGGUCAAUCAUUAAGUGGAACAAAAAAACAACCUGACACAAAUUUAAAAUCAGACGUCUGUUUAUUUUAAGGAUAUAACGUGAUGGAGGAUGGAUCAAUUAGUGCUCUAUACAGCGCUAGUAACCCCGGUUCAGCAAAAGAACAAGUGUAACUACGCGGGUUAUAUUUCUCAUCCCUAUCCUGCAGCCAUGUCUGCGUUCAUCCGCGAAAAGAUCAGGU